UGUAUAAUGGGUCAGCGACUUAUAUUCUGUAGCAAGGUUAACCGUAUAGGGGAGCCGAAGGGAAACCGAGUCUUAACUGGGCGUUAAGUUGCAGGGUAUAGACCCGAAACCCGGUGAUCUAGCCAUGGGCAGGUUGAAGGUUGGGUAACACUAACUGGAGGACCGAACCGACUAAUGUUGAAAAAUUAGCGGAUGACUUGUGGCUGGGGGUGAAAGGCCAAUCAAACCGGGAGAUAGCUGGUUCUCCCCGAAAGCUAUUUAGGUAGCGCCUCGUGAACUCAUCUUCGGGGGUAGAGCACUGUUUCGGCUAGGGGGCCAUCCCGGCUUACCAACCCGAUGCAAACUACGAAUACCGAAGAAUGUUAUCACGGGAGACACACGGCGGGUGCUAACGUCCGUCGUGAAGAGGGAAACAACCCAGACCGCCAGCUAAGGUCCCAAAGUCAUGGUUAAGUGGGAAACGAUGUGGGAAGGCACAGACAGCCAGGAUGUUGGCUUAGAAGCAGCCAUCAUUUAAAGAAAGCGUAAUAGCUCACUGGUCGAGUCGGCCUGCGCGGAAGAUGUAACGGGGCUAAACCAUGCA
rnacentral:rRNA from 1 species